CCUACGGGUGGCAGCAGUAGGGAAUAUUGCUCAAUGGGGGAAACCCUGAAGCAGCAACGCCGCGUGGAGGAUGAAGGUUUUCGGAUUGUAAACCUCUGUCAGCAGGGAAGAACGGUCACUGUGCUAAUCAGCAGUGAAUUGACGGUACCUGCAAAGGAAGCACCGGCUAACUCCGUGCCAGCAGCCGCGGUAAUACGGAGGGUGCGAGCGUUAAUCGGAAUUACUGGGCGUAAAGCGCUCGUAGGCGGUAGGUCAAGUCAAGGGUGAAAUCCCCGCGCUCAACGUGGGAACUGCCUUUGAAACUGGCAAACUGGAGUGUGUGAGAGGAUAGUGGAAUUCCAGGGGUAGGAGUGAAAUCCGUAGAUAUCUGGAGGAACAUCAGUGGCGAAGGCGACUAUCUGGCACAUAACUGACGCUGAGGAGCGAAAGCGUGGGUAGCAAACAGGAUUAGAUACCCUAGUAGUC
rnacentral:rRNA from 1 species